AAGAGGAUGCGUCAGUCGCAAGAUGAAGCGUUGAAUUGAAGCCCGAGUAAACGGCGGCCGUAACUAUAACGGUCCUAAGGUAGCGAAAUUCCUUGUCGGUUAAAUACCGACCUGCAUGAAUGGCGUAACGAGAUGGGAGCUGUCUCAACAGAGAUUCAGUGAAAUUGUAGUGGAGGUGAAAAUUCCUCCUACCCGCGGCAAGACGGAGAGACCCCGUGGACCUUUACUACAACUUAGCACUGCUAAUGGGAAAAUCAUGCGCAGGAUAGGUGGGAGGCUUUGAAGUAAGGGCUUUGGCU
rnacentral:rRNA from 1 species